UACGGAGGGGGCAAGCGUUGUUCGGAUUUAUUGGGCGUAAAGGGUGCGUAGGCGGCGGAGUAAGUUGGGUGUGAAAUCCCGGGGCUCAACCUCGGAAUUGCAUUCAAUACUGCUUCGCUCGAGUACUGGAGAGGAGGCUGGAAUUUACGGUGUAGCAGUGAAAUGCGUAGAUAUCGUAAGGAAGGCCGGUGGCGAAAGCGAGCCUCUGGACAGUUACUGACGCUGAUGCACGAAGGCCAGGGGAGCAAACGGG
rnacentral:rRNA from 1 species